GAGGGUAUAGCUCAAGUGGUAGAGCACAUGCUUAACAUGCAUGAGGUCCUGGGUUCAGUCCCCAGUACCUCCU
rnacentral:tRNA from 1 species